AUUGAACGCUGGCGGCAGGCCUAACACAUGCAAGUCGAACGAGUGGCGGAAGGGUGAGUAAUGUCUGGGAAACUGCCUGAUGGAGGGGGAUAACUACUGGAAACGGUAGCUAAUACCGCAUACCAUCGGAUGUGACCAGAUGGGCUUGGCGAGUAGGUGGGGUAACGGCUCACCUAGGCGACGAUCACUAGCUGGUCUGAGAUGAUGACCAGCACCACUGCAACUGAGACACUGUCCAGACUCCUACGUGAGGCCGCAGUGGGUAAUACUGUACGCUGACGGUAACCCUGAUGCAGCCAUUCCUCUUGUAUGAAGAAGGCCUUCGGGUUGUAAAGUACUUUCGUCAUGGAUACGUUACCCGCAGAAGAUGCACCGGCUAACUCCGCGCCAGCCGCCGCGGUAAUUC
rnacentral:rRNA from 1 species